GAUGAACGCUGGCGGCGUGCCUAAUACAUGCAAGUCGAGCGAACAGACGAGGAGCUUGCUCCUCUGACGUUAGCGGCGGACGGGUGAGUAACACGUGGAUAACCUACCUAUAAGGCUGGGAUAACUUCGGGAAACCGGAGCUAAUACCGGAUAAUAUAUUGAACCGCAUGGUUCAAUAGUGAAAGACGGUUUUGCUGUCACUUAUAGAUGGAUCCGCGCCGCAUUAGCUAGUUGGUAAGGUAACGGCUUACCAAGGCAACGAUGUGUAGCCGACCUGAGAGGGUGAUCGGCCACACUGGAACUGAGACACGGUCCAGACUCCUACGGGAGGCAGCAGUAGGGAAUCUUCCGCAAUGGGCGAAAGCCUGACGGAGCAACGCCGCGUGAGUGAUGAAGGUCUUCGGAUCGUAAAACUCUGUUAUUAGGGAAGAACAAAUGUGUAAGUAACUAUGCACGUCUUGACGGUACCUAAUCAGAAAGCCACGGCUAACUACGUG
rnacentral:rRNA from 1 species